UUUCAUUCCUUAAUUGUAGCUCCAAACUCUUGGUUUGUGUUCAGAAACCUAUAUCAGAUCAUGGGGACAAGCGGUGGGCAGCAGUUGCGUUCUUACUGAACCAGAGAUGACAGCAGUAAAUGCAUUUCAUCGUCCUUUAGCUUAGUUGGUUGAAGCUUAUGGAGCCCUCCUGGAGAAGGAAUGGAGUAUUCUUCUAAGUUAUAGCACUGCACAAGACAUGCCUGGCACCCUCCCAGGGACCCAAGGACUUCUGAAGACAUCUGUGGAUCCCCGGUGUAGUGAACUCAAGGAGGAUCCUGUAGCCUUGGAGCCUACCUCCCUCUUCUCCAAAAAGCCAUCAGUGCUCGCUUUGCUUUGCAUCUGCCACCAUGUACUGUUGCCAGCAGAUCUUACCAGCAAGAACUCACCAGACCCUGCUCCAUACUGUCUGUAAUUUCAGUCUCCAGCAUUGAGCUAAAUAAACU